UAUAUUAUGAGAAAUUAAUUUAUACUAAAAAUUAUAAUAUUUUAUACUUUUAUUAUUGUAUUAUACUAUAAAUAUAAUAUAUAUUACAUUAUAUCAUAAUACAUUAAUAUGCUAUGUUAAAUAAUUUAAUAUUAUGUUAAAUUACCAAAUAUUAAUUUACUCUAAUAAUUAUAUUACUAUUAUGCUAUAUUAACAUAAUAUUAUUUUAUAUUACAAUAAUAUUAUACUAUAUCGUAUAUUUAUGUAUUAAUUUAUAUUAUGUUUUAUUAUGUUCUGUUGUAUAAUACUAUGCAAUGUUCUUUAUGGUAAUUUUGUCAUACAAAAGUACUUUCUCAGUUUGUUUACCAAACACAAAACAAAGUACCACAGCACUUUACGAAUGUAGUUACCAAACAGCAAACAGCUUUUUAUAACAGCUCUACUUCAGA
rnacentral:lncRNA from 1 species